rnacentral:rRNA from 1 species
UACGAAGGGGGCUAGCGUUGUUCGGAUUUACUGGGCGUAAAGGGUGCGUAGGUGGUUCGAUAAGUCAGAUGUGAAAUCCCUGGGCUUAACCUGGGAAUUGCAUUUGAUACUGUCAAACUAGAGUGUGGUAGAGGUAAGCGGAAUUCCCGGUGUAGCGGUGAAAUGCGUAGAUAUCGGGAGGAACAUCAGUGGCGAAGGCGGCUUACUGGACCAACACUGACACUGAGGCACGAAAGCGUGGGUAGCAAACAGG